rnacentral:rRNA from 1 species
CCUUCGGGAACCGUGAGACAGGUGCUGCAUGGCUGUCGUCAGCUCGUGUUGUGAAAUGUUGGGUUAAGUCCCGCAACGAGCGCAACCCUUAUCCUUUGUUGCCAGCGGUUAGGCCGGGAACUCAAAGGAGACUGCCAGUGAUAAACUGGAGGAAGGUGGGGAUGACGUCAAGUCAUCAUGGCCCUUACGACCAGGGCUACACACGUGCUACAA